CAACCUACCUAUCAGGGGGGGAUAACCCGGCGAAAGUCGGACUAAUACCGCAUAAAACAGGGGCACAGCAUGGUGAUAUUUGUUAAAGAAAUUCGCUGAUAGAUGGGCAUGCGUUCCAUUAGGUAGUUGGUGAGGUAACGGCUCACCAAGCCGACGAUGGAUAGGGGAACUGAGAGGUUGGUCCCCCACACUGGUACUGAGACACGGACCAGACUCCUACGGGAGGCAGCAGUGAGGAAUAUUGGUCAAUGGGCGGGAGCCUGAACCAGCCAAGUCGCGUGAAGGAAGAAGGAUCUAUGGUUCGUAAACUUCUUUUGCAGGGGAAUAAAGUGCAGGACGUGUCCUGUUUUGUAUGUACCCUGAGAAUAAGGAUCGGCUAACUCCGUGCCAGCAGCCGCGGUAAUACGGAGGAUCCGAGCGUUAUCCGGAUUUAUUGGGUUUAAAGGGUGCGUAGGUGGUUUGAUAAGUCAGCGGUGAGAGUUUGCAGCUUAACUGUAAAAAUGCCGUUGAAACUGUCGGACUUGAGUGUAAAUGAGGUAGGCGGAAUGCGUGGUGUAGCGGUGAAAUGCAUAGAUAUCACGAAGAACUCCGAUUG
rnacentral:rRNA from 1 species